rnacentral:ncRNA from 1 species
AGAAAAGCGAUGACAGGAAUGAGUAGUGGUUAUCUCCCUGUUUUAGAGAGCUGGUGGUCGGUGCGAACCAGUACAAAGAUAAGCGCGAAUUACCUCCUCGAGCUUCUUUUGCGAACGGCGCUGCUCAGUAGCAAAAGACGGUCAGGCCGUUAUUUAAAGGAAGUGAGAGAGCGUUUGCUCUCUAAGUAGGGUGGUACCGCGAAUUACACUCGUCCCUUCA